rnacentral:rRNA from 1 species
AACGAAGGCUGGCGGCAUGCCUAACACAUGCAAGUCGAACGAGACCUUCGGGUCUAGUGGCGCACGGGUGCGUAACGCGUGGGAACCUGCCCUUAGGUUCGGAAUAACUCCCCGAAAGGGGUGCUAAUACCGGAUAAUGUCUUCGGACCAAAGAUUUAUCGCCUUUGGAUGGGCCCGCGUUGGAUUAGCUAGUUGGUAGGGUAAAAGCCUACCAAGGCGACGAUCCAUAGCUGGUCUGAGAGGAAGAUCAGCCACACUGGGACUGAGACACGGCCCAGACUCCUACGGGAGGCAGCAGUGGGGAAUAUUGGACAAUGGGCGAAAGCCUGAUCCAGCAAUGCCGCGUGAGUGAUGAAGGCCUUAGGGUUGUAAAGCUCUUUUACCCGGGAUGAUAAUGACAGUACCGGGAGAAUAAGCUCCGGCUAACUCCGUG